rnacentral:lncRNA from 1 species
AGAAAACCUACUUAAAGUCACGUGGGGAGACAAGAGAGAAUCUAUUCUUGAAGAGAAAGUGGAAAAGGUGAAGUGGAUCAAUUUAUGCUCAUAUCUCAUAGUCAGCAUCCUCAUUUCCUUCUUAAAGGGCAAAGGGAACCCUGCUGGAUAGUUUUGUGUCAACUUGACACAAGCUAAAGCCAUCUGAGAGGAGAGAACUUCAAUUAAGAAAAUGCUUCAUAAGUUCAGAUAAGCAGACCUGCAGGACAUUUUCUUAAUUAAUGAUUGAUAGAGGAGGGAUCAGCCUAUUGUGAGUGGUGCCACCCUUGGGUUGGUGGUCCGGGACUCUGAAAGAAAGCAGCUUGAACAAGCCAUGAGGAGCAACCAGUAAGCAGGAUUUGUCCAACCCCCACAGUAGGACAAAUGAGUGAGAUGCAAUCAUUUGAAGUGAUGAAACAAAAGCUGUUCAAUGAGCCUCUGGAGAGAUGAAAGGCAAAAGAGAAAGGCCUCCGGCUAAAGACUUCAUGGCUGGGAAACCCACAAUUUUUAUGCAGAAGUCCUUACUGCUGUGGGAUUCCAAAGGAGAAAGCAGUGCAUUUUUCAUGAAAACAAAAAUGAAAUAAAACAAAACCAAAUCUCUCAGAAGAUAGAAGUGAGAUGGGUUCCGAGGACAAAUUGAUUAAUCUAUAAGUGAUCAAUAUUGAUGAAUUUAUCUGGUCUACUAUGGAAGAACUCAGUAAAUGGAAGAUCCUCAAAGUCUGCAGAUUCUAGCAAGAAAUGCUCUGUGAUAUUUUUCUACAGGUUCAUGAGCUAAAAAUGACAGUGGACAUUCAAGUGUGGUGUCCAGUGAGACAACUCAUCACUGGCUUCAAGUAGGGAUCUGAGUUUACUCACAGUAUCUAUUCGUGGUGAUGGAUCCUGUGACCAUUGGAUGAAAAGUUUCUCCAUUUAAGAAAACCAAACUUUCAUCUGAGAGAGGAGGCAGUUUACUAUAUGAUGGGUACCCCUCUGGGCUCUGACAAUGUAUUUGGACUUCUGUUGGGGAAAUCUGAGUUUGUUGUCUAUCUUGCAGCCUUUGAUUAAGGUCCAGGACCAUUUAUGCCUUCAGAAUCCCGUUAGUAACUUUCUCAAGGGCUUGCAACUGAGGAAAGCAGCAGGUGUCAGGGAGGUACCCACUUGCUAUGUACAGUCUUGCUAAUUUGUUUUUUCUAGGAAUGUCCCAUGGACAACAGUAGCCACCAUAGAAGUUAAUUACAAUUUUACCUUUUUAUUUAUUUAUAAGUUUUGCUAUUAGUUGAACUAGCAAAUGGUUCAAUAGUAAAUUAUCUUGCAGUUCUUGUGUGAUGAAACUGCAUAAAGACAGAAAGUUACAAUACAAGCUUUGUAGUAUUAGUAUACAUGUGGGUUUUCAUAUAUCUACUAAGCUGGAGAUGGAUUUCAUUAUUCAACAUUUGCAUAACAGAAAGUGAGCUUUUAUUAUUUUCCAAUUAAAUAUUAUACCUAUUACAGUUUUCUUUUUUUUUAGAAAACAGACUAGUAUAAAGUGAGAAUUAACAACAGUAAGCUGGCAAACUUUACUAGAUUAUUAUUAGAUAUAAUCAACGUGAAGAUCCAAGGAGCCAAGUGAAUGAAAGAAUUUCUAAUCUAUAAAGCCGUGUUAGCGUUCUGAAAAGUUACUUGACCAAUAUAUGGUUGUGCAUAUCAUCUGCUGUGUUCUGAAAACAACUCUUGGUGCUUGAAAAAAUGAAAACUAAACUGGUUAGUGAUGCUACAUGGCUUUAAUUGCAGGAAUUAGGAGGCAGAGGCAGGCAGGCUCUGUGAGUUUAAGGCCAGCCUGGUCUAUGGAAAGAGUUCCAGGACAGCCAAAGGAAGACAGAGAAAUCCUGUCUUCCAAAACAAACAAACUAACUAAAACCAACCAAACAAAAAAAGUAAACACAUAGCUGAAAGGUUUGAUUUUUAUUCUCAAAUAUUUUUAUGGUCAAGGAAACUGAUCCAACAUUUGUGUAGUGCAGAGUCCAAGAUAGUGCUUGCUUCAAAGUCAGUUCCACCAGGAGAAUGGGAUGUCUAUGGCACACUCUAUAGGUUCAUAUAUGGGGAGGCUGAAAGGACUGAAAGUAAUUAAAGGAAGCUUAAAAUAAUGAUGUUCUAGGUUAUGCCUAUUUCUAAAAUGUCCCCUUCCUUCCAUGUCACUCGUCACAUCCUUAUUUACCAGCUUAGCUGUUCUAGUGCCUAUGACCUCAUUGGCCCGCUCUUACGGAUUCAUCACUUCCUUAUCUGGCAUCCAGCCUGGAAUAACACACAUUUUAUUACUGAGAAUAUCCCAUUAUGUCAAAUCAAUAAAGGAAUUAUCAUUUUUGAAGGGAGAUGGAGCUACGCUGUAGUAUGUUUCAUUGCUUUCUGCCUCCCUGACUGGGCAAGUCACUUAGUCUUGAGUCUGAGCAAGUCUUAGCUGUAAAUGAUAAUGAUGACAUUAUGAACAUUAAAUAUAGUGUUCACACAUGUCCUGCAUAUAGGAAACACCUAAGAAAUGACAUUCAUUGUUAAUUUUUAUGGAUAUAUUAUCCCUGUUAGAUGGUCUUUCACUCUCAUUAUGCUCUUCUUUAGCUAAUGGAAACUGGCAUGAGGACCAGGUACAUAGGAAGUACCUGAUAAAUAUUUGAACCAGUAAGCAUAUAGGAAACAAAAAAGAGAUAAAUUAGAAGCGAUAUUUUGUGUGAGGGAAUGGUGUAGAAGAGUUGAAAGGGACAAGAAAUUAGAAAUCUCUCUGAUCUUACCAGAGGAAAGUCUUGCAGAGCAUAUUCAGUUUGAUUGGCUAGUGAACUACAAGUUGGCACAUUCAGGUUCAAUGGUAUCUGCUAUGGUAAGGAGUGUGGGGAUAUAGUGUUUUGGGAGACAAUGAUAUACUAAAAAAGUAUGAGUAAUGGAUAUUUUUAGAAAACCAGAUUCAUCCCUAUGAACCCCGGUGAUGGUUGGUCUUAAUGUUAAUUUGUCAGGAAUUACAAUCAUGUGAGUAGGGAGUUUCACCUGAAGGAUUGCCCUGAUUUUCUCAGUGGGUGAGAAAAAACCUACUCCAGUGUGAAUGGUUCCUUCUGGGAGCCGCCUAGAUAAACAGAGAGCCUGGCACUGGGAACAUUGUUCUCCUUUGUCCAUACCUUCAGACACCAAGUGGGUUUCCCAUUGCAGCCAUGGCUGAUGUCUCCAGGGAUCGCAGAACCAGCAUUUCCAGGCUUCAUCACUGACCAAGGACUAGCCAUUCUCCGGGAACGUUUAAGGUUUGCAGCUCCAGGUUAGGAUUGCUGUGGCACCAGCCUCUGGGACUGAGUGCUGGGUUGUGGGCUUCUGGUGUGAGACCAUGAGUGUGGGAUUCACUCCAAUUGCAGGUGUACCAGCCUUCAGUACUGAGUCACUGUGGGCUUCUCUGCUUCUAAGCUGAUUUAAGGCAUUCUUUUUACUAUUCAGCUAUAGGUUCUGCUGCUCUGGAGAACACUGACCUACUCAAACACUAAUGACUUUAACAUGUUAACAUUUUUAUUUGUUUAUAAGAGGAACAUGUGUGUGUUCACUACACCCCAAGGUUUUGAAAAAAAACUUGUCAUACUGUGUAUAGCCGUGUGAUGAGAUAUUUUUGAGAAGGGAGGACUAGAGAAAGGUUUCACUUUGUUGCAUAGGCUGGCCUUGAACUUGGGGUUAUCCUUCUGCUACAACUUUUCAAGUACUAGGCUUAAAGGCAGAAUCCACAAAACUCAGCAUAAAGAAGAUCCAGAGAAGAUAGUCUAUUCUGAUGAAAUGUAAGGGUGCCUUAAAGAUGAUGAUUCAUGACUUUAGAAUAGCCAUAAAUCUUUGAGGAAUGAGCAAACCAAAAUUAGGAACAUAUGUCCCCUCUGCUCUUGGAAUGGCACUUCCACGAGAGUCACCAGGAGUUAAAUGGAAUGAUGACAAGCCACAUAUGGCACCAGAUCUGUGCUAGAUUAAUAACAGUAUGAGAACACAGUUAAACAGUGAUAAUCCCCUUGUUAUCCAGUGUCUUUUCCCUUUCCAACAACCUCACAGUACAUCGUUAAACACGCAAAAGACACUUGUUAAUGGGGACAGCUGACACGCGAGGAGAAGCCAUGUGGCCUAUCUUUUGAAACAAGCUGAAGAGGCUGAUUCUUCAUUCACAGGACUGCAGAGGAGUCAUUUGGAGAUCAAAAAAUGAGGCUAACCCUGACUAGCUUGAGGCGCUCCAUCUGGCUCUGCCCCAUGCUGUUGCCAUAGCCACCCAUCUCCUAGCAACAAUGAAUAGCAUUUUCAUGUCUCUACAGUGACAAAGCAUGAGAGUGAAAAACAUAAGUAUGGCCACAAUACACUAAUAAUCUUAGAGGUUAUCUCAUAAAUUAAGUUCAAUCUGAGGAUCUGCAUGAAUAUUUGAUUUGGUGAUUGUAUUUUUCCUAUGGUAGUCUUUUGUCUUGGUUUAAAAUAAAGCAGCCUGACAGCCUGCUAUUAAAUAUAAGAUGACAAAUACCAUUACAAAGGGCACAAUAAAGCUAAACUUUAUUUUAAAUCACACAGAAAAACAAUCAUCUUUUUAAAUAACUGCCCAUCAACAUCUAGAACUCCGGGGACAAAUGCCAGGGUGGGAAAACUCAGCCUUGGACUUAGAAGGAAUAUUCUGUCUUGACACAUCCAGGCUCAGACAAGCCACCAGGAGCCUUUGCAUCGAGCAAGGAGUCUCAGCUGAGGUAACUAAUCAAAAACAGUAAAGAAGCUGAAUAAAGAGAGAAGGAAAGGCCGUCUGCAUCAUGCUUGUCCUUGUGACAAAGUGAAAACCCGCAUGACUCAUCUAAGAGGAUGCGGAGCUGUUUAUUUCUAAAGGUUUGUGCCAUACUUGAAGCAUGCUUUAUUUGAAUAUUCUGCCAGGAGAAUUCCAUUGGGAUGGCGCCCAUUGUUUCUUUUUUAAUGAAUAGUAACUCUCAACCAGAGAAUGCUUUUACCAACCCUCUGGUCCCCACCUGAGAAUGCAGAAUUUUAGACAGCCACAGAGAUGGAGAUAGUGAAGUUUGAGGAAAUUCUCAUUUAAAAACAUUUUUUUUUUCACCGUUUUUGUCAGCUACAGCUCAUGACCCAUCUCUUGUUUAGAAAUAAGAAUCUGUCACAGUUUGAAUAUUGCUUUCGUGAUUUUUUUUUUUUUUCUAUGAGAGCCUGGGCAUUUGGUAAAUGUCAGUGAAAGAUGCAGGCAGUGAGAAGCCGCUUUAGGAAUCCUACUGAGAGAUUUCUCUGGAGGGGAAACAGCAUCUAAACAAUGAGGUCUGCAGAGUGGAAUAAACAAUCCAACACUUCUGCAGGCCAUUAUCAUGUGUUUACACAUUGCAUGCGGAGUUGAGUUUAGCUGUGCUAACAGCUUUGUGAGAAGAAAAUCCCCCCAAAAUUAAAUAAUCAAAAGAGAUAGGUGAAUGCUGAUUUUAUGAAAUAAACAGUGAUUGAGGAGAGAAGAAAAACCAGCAGGACUCAGCAGGAAGCAAAUUAAUUCUUGCUGGAGAUUUACUCUUCUCAAGAACUUAAAUUGCCCAUUUCCUAAUCAGUACAGUUCUUGUAUGUUGUUUCUUUUUCAGUCUUCCUAAAUUUAUUUCAUGUUAGUGCUCUUUAAUUUUUCACUCUAUUGUUUUCUAAAUUAUAGUGUGAAACUCCAGUUCCUUGAGAGCCUCUGUGAAGUUCUGAUCUCAGUUAUUUACCAUGCCUCUAAUUUGAUAACAGUAAAAUUAUUUUCCAAUGAUUACAUUUAUCUGUUUCAUUUGCCCCUGCUUCAGAGAAUGAUGUAAGAGGAAUACCUAAUGUGCUUUCUUUUUUUCCCUGUGUCAUUGGAAUGAUCCGUGACCCAGGCAAUCCCAUGUAUUCAUAAUACUACUGUGUAAAAACUGAAGCAAAACUGUCUUAGUGUCCUUCCAUGGGGAAUGGCUGCUCAGUUACUGGCUCUUUCCAUGUGCUCAUGCUGUCGCAAGCAGGAAAAAGCACAAAAUGUUGUUCUCCCAGCUAAUUCUGCACACAGAGAAAGAUGUCAACACACAUUAAAACUGCAACCACAUUUGAGAAGGCUCGCAGAACUCUGCAAAUGCCAUCGUUGUUUGCAGAGCUCGAGCUGCAGAGAUGUCGUAUGCUUUUCAAUCUGCUUUUUACUCUUCUGCCGUCUUAAAAUAAACCGUGUAAUUCUGGCUCUUGGCUUUUGGAUGUGAGUUAUGCCAUCAAUCUGUUGUGAUUCAUUCACUACGUUAUUUUAGGUCUGAAUAGUUUGUCCUUUCUAUAAUAAUCACUGUAGUGUUGCUUUUGCCUAGAGGAAGCUAUGGUGUCUUUGGGACAAGCAGACAAGCAGAAAAGUGAGUGCAACAAUGUGGUGUAAGCACUGGACAUAAAAGCUUCCCUCCCACAGGUCUGUUGGCAGGUGGGAAAGUCUGAGUGGCACCUAUAUAUUAACUCUGAUACCAAAUGAUGAGUCCAGCCCUCCAAGUAUGAGGAACUCCAAGUACUGAGUUCAGCACUCAGCUGAGUAGUGCCCUGUACUCUAGAAGAGAUGUGUGAAAUUCAUCUUUGAGCCGAUUAGCACAUUCUACCAGUCUCCCUCUGCAAAGUCUAUCUGCAUUAAGGAUCUUGAAGAAAGGGGAGAGUGUGACACAUCUUUCAAGCAUUAAUCACCACUUCUUGUAACUAUCAGAAGACAAAAGGGCUCUGCUGAAUAUCGAGAGAGCUGAAUUAGUGCCAACUGUACAAAUUACCAAAGGCGAUGGAGAGAAGCCUUUGGCUUUUAAUGGAAAUUGAAUCUUUUACAGCUAGCAUGUUUUGAAGAUGUCUUAAUAAUGGAAAAGAUCAGAGGCAUUCUUACAGGAUGAGAUGACGGUGACACAAAAGCCCUGAGACAGAAUGAACAUGACAGGACAUUAGUCUUUGCAAUGUCAGAUCUUGCUGCUCCCAAGAUCACCUGGCAUUGAAUUUGAAAAAGGUCAAAUAGAGUAAAACAGUUUCAAAAUAAGAAUGGAGCCAGAUCCUUUCAGGGUUGGAUACAGGGCUGGUGAGAUAACCAUAUCUGGCGUCUAUAGUACAUUAUGAAAUCCUAUUCAGAUUAGGAUGUAAUAGGGGAAGGACAGAAUGUGUCUCAACAUCUAACACGUAUCUUUAAUAAAUAUAGUAUGGGAACUCCCAUUUUUCUUUGUUUAAUACAUAAUUAAUUUAUUUGUUUCUCUUCUCUAUAAUUGUCUAAAGUAGAGGUUUCAAGUAGGCACAAGUCUUGUAUCUAAGUGGGAUUAAGACAUUGGGCCACUCUGUCUUGUUCUACCAUCAGAAAGGACACCAAAGCUUUAUUAUUAUUAUUAAUUAUUAUUAUUAUUAUAAAGGUAACAGAGAAUAGGCAGCUACUUCUUAGUGUAAGUAGCCCUACAAUAACUUAAUACUAUACAAAGUAGGACAUGCAGCUAGCUAUCUAGAAAAUGUGUUUUUGAAUAUUUGGACAGGGCAACAAAUUAUUAAUUAGUCAAUUCUAGAAAUUAGAACCCUAGUCUUUUAAAGAGAGGCAAGAGACUCUCUUAAAAAGACUGUAAGAUUCAUUUUUUUUCAUAAUAGCUAGGAAAUGGAAGCAGCCUAAAUGUUCUCCAACUGAUGAAUGGAUACUAAAAAUGUGGCAUGCAUUUACUAUUUAGCUAUAAAAAAAUGAAAUCACAAAAUAGGAAGGUAAAUGGAUGGAACUGGAAAUGAUCAUAUUGAAUGAGGUAACCCAGACCUUGAAAGACAAAUAUCACAUCUCAUCUCUCAUUUGGAGCUCAGAGUCUUUAAAUAGGAAUACUUACCUAGAGUAACUGAAGAAACCAGGAAAGUAAGAAGGGACCCUUGUGAAUAUGGGAGCAGGGGAGGGAAAGGUUGAAUAGAGAGGGAGAUAGUGGGGUUCAAAUGAUCUGA